rnacentral:rRNA from 1 species
CCCAGCUUGCUGGGCGGAUUAGUGGCGAACGGGUGAGUAAUACGUGAGUAACCUGCCCUUGACUCUGGGAUAAGCCUGGGAAACUGGGUCUAAUACUGGAUACUACUGUCCAUCGCAUGGUGGGUGGUGGAAAGGGUUUUACUGGUUUUGGAUGGGCUCACGGCCUAUCAGCUUGUUGGUGGGGUAAUGGCUCACCAAGGCGACGACGGGUAGCCGGCCUGAGAGGGUGACCGGCCACACUGGGACUGAGACACGGCCCAGACUCCUACGGGAGGCAGCAGUGGGGAAUAUUGCACAAUGGGCGGAAGCCUGAUGCAGCGACGCCGCGUGAGGGAUGACGGCCUUCGGGUUGUAAACCUCUUUCAGUAGGGAAGAAGCGAAAGUGACGGUACCUGCAGAAGAAGCGCCGGCUAACUACGUGCCAGCAGCCGCGGUAAUACGUAGGGCGCAAGCGUUGUCCGGAAUUAUUGGGCGUAAAGAGCUCGUAGGCGGUUUGUCGCGUCUGCUGUGAAAGCCCGGGGCUCAACCCCGGGUCUGCAGUGGGUACGGGCAGACUAGAGUGCAGUAGGGGAGACUGGAAUUCCUGGUGUAGCGGUGAAAUGCGCAGAUAUCAGGAGGAACACCGAUGGCGAAGGCAGGUCUCUGGGCUGUUACUGACGCUGAGGAGCGAAAGCAUGGGGAGCGAACAGGAUUAGAUACCCUGGUAGUCCAUGCCGUAAACGUUGGGCACUAGGUGUGGGGGACAUUCCACGUUUUCCGCGCCGUAGCUAACGCAUUAAGUGCCCCGCCUGGGGAGUACGGCCGCAAGGCUAAAACUCAAAGGAAUUGACGGGGGCCCGCACAAGCGGCGGAGCAUGCGGAUUAAUUCGAUGCAACGCGAAGAACCUUACCAAGGCUUGACAUUCACCGGACCGCCUCAGAGAUGGGGUUUCCCUUCGGGGCUGGUGGACAGGUGGUGCAUGGUUGUCGUCAGCUCGUGUCGUGAGAUGUUGGGUUAAGUCCCGCAACGAGCGCAACCCUCGUUCUAUGUUGCCAGCACGUGAUGGUGGGGACUCAUAGGAGACUGCCGGGGUCAACUCGGAGGAAGGUGGGGAUGACGUCAAAUCAUCAUGCCCCUUAUGUCUUGGGCUUCACGCAUGCUACAAUGGCCGGUACAAAGGGUUGCGAUACUGUGAGGUGGAGCUAAUCCCAAAAAGCCGGUCUCAGUUCGGAUUGAGGUCUGCAACUCGACCUCAUGAAGUCGGAGUCGCUAGUAAUCGCAGAUCAGCAACGCUGCGGUGAAUACGUUCCCGGGCCUUGUACACACCGCCCGUCAAGUCACGAAAGUUUUUACGACCUUGGUACGA